AAGAACCAACGAAAGGGACUCGGUCUGGUAUAUAUUCAAUGAAACUUAUAAAUGGGUGAAAAAGCCCAUAUUUAAAUUAAAGACAAGAAGACCCUAUAAGCUUUUUUAAAACUUAAUAAUUUCAAUUAUUUAUUAUUUAGUUGGGGGGACUGAAAGAUAUAAACACUUUUUCAUCAUUAGAGAUAAUCCCUCACUUUACCUAUCCCAU
rnacentral:rRNA from 1 species